AUGCCAGCGGGCUCCCGCGCCGGCCGCUCGCCGGGCCGCCUCCUCGGGGCGGGGUGUCCGGCGCGGCGCGGGGCGGGGCGGGGCGGGGCGGGGCGGGCGGAGGCGGGGCGGCGCGGCGGGCGGGCGGACGGGCAGGUCGGCGGAGGCACGCGGCGGCGGGACCUGCUCCGCGAAGCCCCGAGGGGAGGCCGAGCGCGCACGACCCCGGGCUGCGGCGGCACCGAGCUGGGACCCCGCGGCCGGCGGCACCACGCCCGUGCGCCCGGGGCCUCGGAGGCUUCGGGGAGGCGGCCUUCCCGCGGACCGAGAGCGCACGCGGCCUGGGAAGCGGCGCCCCGUCCGGGCCCGGCGCCGCGGCACUGCUCGGGCCCCCGAGGCGCGGCGAGGCGCGGCGAGGCGAGGCCGGUGCGGAGCGCCCGGGCGGCGCAGGCCGGGACCGCCGCUGCGAGCCACGCGGAUGCCGGCCCGCGGCGGCGACCUGCCGCGUCACCUCGGGCGAGACCGAAACUUGCGAGCCUCGCCCAGCUCUGGAGCCGAGUGAGCACCGACGGCGACCUGCGGUCCCGCGGGCCGAAGGGGCGCGCCCAGCCUUCCCGCCGCCCCUCCGCAGCCGGCCGGGACCGCGGGACGCCGAGCCCGGGAAACCCAGAAGCGCCGGCCUGCGAGCCCAACGCGGCCCGCGAACGGGCGGCUGCCGGCGACAGCCACGGCCUUUCCCAGUUCCCAUCCCUGAGGGGCCUCGUCACCCAGGCCGCUUCACCCCCUUCUCUGACCCCGGCGGCGAGAGGGCGCGCGGGGAGGCGGGGGAGUUUGCGCCGGGCCCCGGGCGCAUGCGCAGACGUUUGGGUUGGGGCGGGUCCCGGGGCGGGGAGCCCGUCUUUAGGGCGGCUCUGCCGAUUGGCCGGUCUGCGCGGGCCACGCCCACCGCCUGCUGAUGGACAGCGCCUUACCUGCCCGGGCGGAUUCCGCCGCGCUCUGGGGCAGCUUGGGGCAGGCCUUCGCCGGAGUCGCGGUGGACGCUCCAGCCCGAGUUCCCGGGGUCCUCGCGGCCGUGAUCCCCGCCUGGACGGAGGCCGCCCGUCGCGUCCUGCCCCUGCGGAAAGCCAAACACUGGCCUAA
rnacentral:lncRNA from 1 species